rnacentral:rRNA from 1 species
AGGUCAAGCUACAAAGGGCGCAUGGUGAAUGCCUUGGCACUAGGAGCCGAAGAAGGACGUGAUAAGCUGCGAUAAGCUUUGGGUAGGCGCAAAUAGCCAGUGAUCCAGAGAUUUCCGAAUGGGGAAACCCGCAUAGUUAACACUAUGCACUUUAUACUGAAUACAUAGGUAUAUAGAGGUAAACCCGGGGAACUGAAACAUCUAAGUACCCGGAGGAAGAGAAAGAAACAUCGAUUUCCUAAGUAGCGGCGAGCGAAAGGGAAAGAGCCCAAACCUAAGUCUUUGACUUAGGGGUUGUGGACAGAUCAUAAAAUUGCGAAUUUCUUAGCUGAAGACAACUGGAAAGUUGCUCCGCAGAAGGUAAUAGGCCUGUAAGCGAAAGGAAAUAAGCAAGAGAUCUGAUCCAGAGUACCACGAGACACGUGAAACCUUGUGGGAAGCAGGGAGGACCACCUCCCAAGGCUAAAUACUACCUAGUGACCGAUAGUGAAGAAGUACCGUGAGGGAAAGGUGAAAAGAACCCCGGGAGGGGAGUGAAAUAGAACCUGAAACCGUAGUACCGUGAGGGAAAGGUGAAAAGAACCCCGGGAGGGGAGUGAAAUAGAACCUGAAACCGUGUGCCUACAACCGGUCGAAGCACUUUAUAUGUGUGACGACGUGCUUUUUGUAGAACGAGCCAACGAGUUACGAUAUGUAGCGAGGUUAAGUACUUAAGGUACGGAGCCGAAGGGAAACCGAGUCUGAAUAGGGCGCAAAGUUGCAUGUCGUAGACCCGAAACCGGGUGACCUAUCCAUGGCCAGGAUGAAGCGAGAGUAAAAUCUCGUGGAGGUCCGAACCACGUUGGUGUUGAAAAACCAUGGGAUGAGCUGUGGAUAGCGGAGAAAUUCCAAUCGAACUCGGAGAUAGCUGGUUCUCCUCGAAAUAGCUUUAGGGCUAGCGUCGAUUAACUGAGUAAUGGAGGUAGAGCACUGAAUAGGCUAGGGGGCAUAUCGCUUACCGAACCUUAUCAAACUCCGAAUGCCAUAUACUUUUAUUUCGGCAGUCAGACUGCGAAUGAUAAGAUCCGUAGUCAAAAGGGAAACAGCCCAGACCAUCAGCUAAGGUCCCAAAGUGUAAGUUAAGUGGUAAAGGAUGUGGGAUUUCUAAGACAACUAGGAUGUUGGCUUAGAAGCAGCCACUCAUUUAAAGAGUGCGUAAUAGCUCACUAGUCAAGAGAUCCUGCGCCGAAGAUGUCCGGGGCUAAAACUUACCACCGAAGCUAUGGAUGUACACUAUGUGUACGUGGUAGAGGAGCUUUCUGCAUUGGCUGAAGUCGUACCGUAAGGAGCGGUGGACGAUGCAGAAGUGAGAAUGUUGGCAUAAGUAGCGAGAGCCAGGUGAGAAUCCUGGCGGUCGAAAACCUAAGGUUUCCUGAGGAAGGCUCGUCCUCUCAGGGUUAGUCGGGACCUAAGCCGAGGCCGAAGGGCGUAGGUGAUGGACAACAGGUUGAUAUUCCUGUACUACCAACUGACGUUAUCAGAAAUGGGGUGACGCAGGAGGAUAAGAUUUGCACACUAUUGGAUGUGUGUCUAAGCAUUUAGGAGUAGCUGGUAGGCAAAUCCGCCAGCCGAAUCUGAGGUGUGAUGGGGAGCCCGUAUGGGCGAAGUAUCUGAUUCCACGCUGCCAAGAAAAGCCUCUAUCGAGGAAGUUGGUACCCGUACCGCAAACCGACACAGGUAGGUGAGGAGAGAAUCCUAAGACCAGCGGAAGAAUUGCUGUUAAGGAACUCGGCAAAUUGACCCCGUAACUUCGGGAGAAGGGGUGCCACCGAAAGGUGGUCGCAGAGAAUAGGCCCAAGCAACUGUUUAGCAAAAACACAGGUCUCUGCUAAAGCGAAAGCUGAUGUAUAGGGGCUGACGCCUGCCCGGUGCUGGAAGGUUAAGGGGAUCACUUAGCGCAAGCGAAGGUGUGAACUUAAGCCCCAGUAAACGGCGGCCGUAACUAUAACGGUCCUAAGGUAGCGAAAUUCCUUGUCGGGUAAGUUCCGACCCGCACGAAUGGCGUAAUGAUUUGGGCACUGUCUCAACAGCAAAUCCGGCGAAAUUGUAGUGCAAGUGAAGAUGCUUGCUACCCGCGAUUGGACGGAAAGACCCCGUAGAGCUUUACUGUAGCUUAGCAUUGAAUUUCGGUAUUGUCUGUACAGGAUAGGUGGGAGACUGAGAAGUAGGACCGUCAGGUUCUAUGGAGUCAUCCUUGGGAUACCACCCUGACAGUACUGGGAUUCUAACUGGAGGCCAUGAAUCUGGUCACAGGACAUUGUUAGGUGGGCAGUUUGACUGGGGCGGUCGCCUCCUAAAAAGUAACGGAGGCGCCCAAAGGUUCCCU